rnacentral:lncRNA from 1 species
GAAAAAUGUGCAAAGUCAACACUACCCUGCAAAGUGAGGACUUUCCCCUCUCCUGUUAGGUCAUGGAACCCAUGUUUAAAAUUUAAGUUACCUAUGAAGCCAGGCCUACCUAAGGACAUGAGUUAAAGAUUCUCAAAAACUGCUAGUAUUUUUUGUCACACAUACACCCCCGAGUUUGAUAGUUCCUGUCAAAACAGGCUGGCUCAGCAUCUGCAACUCGGACUUUCCAAAUGCUGUCUCUUGCUUCUGGAAAUGAGUGGCAGUAGUGGGCUGGAGAUUUGGGGAGGAAUAAGAAAAACUCCAAAAAUAGGAAGCAGCUUGAACUUCCUACUAUCAGUCAGUCGAGAAGUUUGAACUACUUGAGGUGGAUGAUGUAACGGGAACAAAUGACGGAAAUAAAAGAUAACUUCCUUCUUUUUGCCUUUUUAUCAAGGAAAUGGAAAAAUCCAACUGGAACAAAUGGAAUAAGAAAUACCGUGGUGCUUGAAGUCCAAGAUAGAUAAGUCAUUAAGAGAACCUACUUGCUCAGCCGAGUGACUACUGGGCAGUUAUUGUCAUACCGCAGUGGACACAGCAAAAGUCACAACUGUUAUUCUAGUACAGGACAGAAGGAAAUUAAGGACAGAAAAAUCCAAUCUACCAUAGUGAGUCAAUGCUGGAAGAUACAGAAAUCAAGCACAGGAUGAAGAACCCCGGGAGAAUGAUGUGGGAGAAUGAAGAAAACUUUAAAACUUUGUUGGAAAUCAUAAGAGAAGACUUGAUCAAAGAGAAAAUGGAAUUUAUUCUUACACAGGAAGGCAGUGUUACAAAGAUGUCAAAUAUCCC